rnacentral:rRNA from 1 species
UACGUAGGGCGCAAGCGUUGUCCGGAAUUAUUGGGCGUAAAGAGCUCGUAGGCGGCUUGUCACGUCGGGUGUGAAAGCCCGGGGCUUAACCCCGGGUCUGCAUUCGAUACGGGCUAGCUAGAGUGUGGUAGGGGAGAUCGGAAUUCCUGGUGUAGCGGUGAAAUGCGCAGAUAUCAGGAGGAACACCGGUGGCGAAGGCGGAUCUCUGGGCCUGAUCUGACGCUGAGGCGCGAAAGCUAGGGGAGCGAACAGG